rnacentral:lncRNA from 1 species
UUCAAAAUAGCAACUAGUAAAAACCACUUACGUUUUCUAGGGCAUAUUUUAUAAACCUCUGGAUAACCAAUGAUGCAAAUCAUUUUUAACUCACCUGUUUUUUUUUUUUUUUUUGUUUUUUUUGUAGUUGGUAAUCUGUAUUUUCCUCUCUUAAGCUGUUAUAAUUGUUAUUUAAUUCCUGAGGAGUGAACUUCCUUUUCUACUACAUACACUUGUGUGUGCUUAUUAAAGAAGGAGAGUAACCUUGAGAAUUUGUUGUAAGUAACAAAUUGGACCCAGUAGGGAAUUUAGAAUUGACAUCGGAGCAAUUCUUGUCUAUGUCUAUUGUGUCUAAUGACGAGGUUGCUAGACAAAAUCUAUUUAAUUAGAGGAAUCUAGGACGACCGAAAGAAACGAAGAGAAGGCGCGAAGGAAUAAUGCUACGACAGAUUUAUUAGGAACACUGACGUUCUUAAUUCUCUUAUUCAGUUUCUUAUAUUUUUCUUAUACGUAACCACGAAAUUUAGUAUUGUUCCUCCAGUCAUUUGUAUAAUUUUCAUAAUACCAGGCUACUGUUGUGUACCAAAUUGUCGCAGUGGAUAUAAAAAUGCACCUAAGGGCCCUACUGUGUCUCUACACUCUUUCCCUCAUAAGUCAUGAUGAAUGCUUAAAAAGUGCCUGGCUUAGAGCGAUUCCUAGGCAAGCUGGCGGAGUUUAGACACCUAAGAAUUCACGAGUUUGCUGUCUUCAUUUUCAAGUUCAUUUUUGUUACAUAAAGUCGAGAUAAUCCCCGGAAGAGUAAAGAAAAACAGUUAAAAUCGGUGGAUAUCAAUCUCAAGAAUCGAUAUUUGAAACCUUUUUCUAUUCCGAAACUUUUCCCAAAUCUACCUAAGUAAUUGUCUAAUCACAAACAUGAAAGAACAACUAAAAAAGCCACUUCAUCAACAAGGCUUGAGCUGGAAAUCUCAGUAUUCUCCAAGAUGAAGAAACUUUUUGGAAAAUGGACUCUGUGGGAGACUUGGAUGAUUUAUGUUCAAAAGUUACUAGUGAAAUACUACUGGCUAAUAUUCAUUAUAGAAAAACAGAUAAUUGUAUUCAAUUUUAUUGCUUAGAAGGCUCACAUCAAAGCUUACUUGAAAUAAUAUUCACUUUUUCUAUUCAAAUGGAUGUGACAUUCUUAAUCUUCCAUUAGAAUAUCAAAAUUUUGAUUAUUCAACACUUAACAGUUGAAGAGAAGAUUACUUCUAUCAGUAAGCUUCAAAAUAUAUUAGCCUAUAUGAAAUCUCUUAAUUCUCCGUCAAUGCAACCUACCAUUUGCAAUGCCUUGAAUGAUUUUAAUAAGUUUAUUAAAAUUCAACAUCGGAUCUUCACUCUCAUCCGCAAAAAAAAGGAUAUUUAUAUGUGAACAGCUUUAUCUGCUUAACUCUCUUGCAACCCUUAGACGUUAUUCACCAGGCUUUUUGGCAUCAUCCCUCAUUUGGCACAACACGAGUCCUGCACUAUCUCGCCAGAUGUCCGUUGAUGGUGUAACUUUACCUUCGCCUAAUCACCUUAAUAAACUGUCUUCUUCGUUUACAAUCAAUGUGGGGUUAUUAUCUUCAUCAAGAGAAUACUUGUCUGCAAGAAAUAAAUCAUUAUCAGAUGUCCAGAAGAAAGUUGCUCUCUUAGUGGUUGAAGUUUAUACUGCUCAAAGAGUCGAGUUUUUUGGAGGAAAAUGGACGGGACAGGAAGGAGGUAAAAUAAAAAAACUCUGCUGUUCUUCAUGAUAAAAUCAAUAUCUUCAAAUUAUCGAGACACUGUCGUACUUUAUCCAAUUGUUAACCUCAACUCAGAAACGCUAUAUGAUUUAAUGCUACAAAUAAACUCUGAGUUCUUUAAAAUCGGAUUUAAUGUUACAGCUAUUCCGAUGGACAGUGCAAGUCCCAACAGGAAAUGCUAUUUAAACAAAUUCUGUAAAGGAUCUUGGAAACCAUGUAUACCAAAUCCAGAUGCUCCGGAUUUUCCUCUCUUUCUUCUCUUUGAUAGUACUCACAAUUUUAAAAACUUGUAUAACUGUCAAAGGAGAAAAAUAUUGAUAUGCCCUAAUUUCGGUGAUAUUGACCUCUCAUCUCUAAAUUUUCUACUCGUCAUUGAUUUGUAUGAGAUGGAAAACAUAAGGUCGUAAAAAUUUAUCACAAGUUAACCUCAAAAUAAGUAUAUCCAACACCUAUUGAAAAAACAAACAUUUACUGGGUGACAGCAUUUUCCAUGAAAGCACCAUUGCUGCUCUUCAAUAUUACUCCUCCCCACAGCCUACAUGGAAAAUAACUGAAACUUUCUCUCCGUUGUAAGAACAUAUUGGAACAUCGUCAAUUGCAAGAUACCUUUAGCAGGAAUUAGAAAAAGAGAUAUUUCUAAAGAAUCACUUAGCUCAGGACAUGAAAAUUUGGAGUAUCUUGCGAAGUUUAAUACCUGGGUGAAGCUAUGGCAGGAGGAAGUAGAAAAUCACAAAAUGAGUCUCACAAUAGAAACGUUCACUACAGUGAUACAGUCUACUAGUGCAGUAUUAAACCUUGCGGAAUACCUCUUAACAAAAUGUGACUUUAAAUACGUUCUUCUUGGGCAAGUACAGAGCGAUUUUAUUGAAUCAAGGUUUAGCUGGUAUCGUCAGCUCUCUGGAACCUACUAUCACAAACAUCAAUGCUCAAAUCCAAUUAUUGUUUUAGCCUCCUUGUAUCUAAGAUUUUCCUUCAGUUACUUUUACUGAAUCUGGUAACAACAACUCCAAAGUCUAACUUAUUGAGCAAAUAAAUAAACUCUACUCUCCUACGGACUUCUGUUUUUUUUUUGUAGUUAUUAAAAUGUACAUUUUUGUAUAAACUUAUAAUGAAAAAUCAAAAUCGUUGUUUUUCCAAUGCCAACAUUUUAUUUGUUUGGAAAAAAUUUACGACUUCCACAAUUACUUAAGUCAUAAUUGUCUUUUAAAAGCUUAUUUAAUCACUGUUCCAUUCAAUUACUAAAUGUUAUGGCUAAAAAUUAUUCAAGAAAACUUAAUUAUGAUAUCAAUAUGAAAAAGUCUGCUGUAAACUCAAAAAAAGAUUGUAAAAAAACUAGAAAAAUAAUAAAACUAUAUUCUAAUCAAUAAAA